rnacentral:rRNA from 1 species
AGUGAGCGCUGGCGGUAGGCCUAGCACAUGAAAGUCGAACGGCAGCACAGUAAGAGCUUGCUCUUACGGGUGGCGAGUGGCGGACGAGUGAGGAAUACAUCGGAAUCUACUUUUUCGUGGGGGAUAACGUAGGGAAACUUACGCUAAUACCGCAUACGACCUACGGGUGAAAGCAGGGGAUCUUCGGACCUUGCGCGAUUGAAUGAGCCGAUGUCGGAUUAGCUAGUUGGCGGGGUAAAGGCCCACCAAGGCGACGAUCCGUAGCUGGUCUGAGAGGAUGAUCAGCCACACUGGAACUGAGACACGGUCCAGACUCCUACGGGAGGCAGCAGUGGGGAAUAUUGGACAAUGGGCGCAAGCCUGAUCCAGCCAUACCGCGUGGGUGAAGAAGGCCUUCGGGUUGUAAAGCCCUUUUGUUGGGAAAGAAAAGCAGCAGGUUAAUACCCCGCUGUUCUGACGGUACCCAAAGAAUAAGCACCGGCUAACUUCGUG